CCUACGGGGGGCAGCAGUAGGGAAUAUUGCUCAAUGGGGGAAACCCUGAAGCAGCCAAGUCGCGUGGAGGAUGAAGGUUUUCGGAUUGGUAACUCCUUUUGGUAGGGAAGAUAAUGACGCUACCUAACGAAUAAGCACCGGCUAACGCCGAGCCAGCAGCCGCGGUAAAAUGGAGGGUGCAAGCGUUACUCGGAAUCACUGGGCGUAAAGAGCGGGUAGGCGGGAUAACAAGUCAGAUGUGAAAUCCUAUGGCUUAACCCUAGAACUGCAUUUGAAACUGGUAUUCUAGAGUAGGGGAGAGGUAGGUGGAAUUCUUGGUGUAGGGGUAAAAUCCGUAGAGAUCAAGAGGAAUACUCAUUGCGAAGGCGACCUGCUAGAACAUAACUGACGCUGAUGCGCGAAAGCGUGGGGAGCAAACAGGAUUAGAUACCCGAGUAGUC
rnacentral:rRNA from 1 species